GUUAAAGAGGGAACACACUUGUCUAAUUUAUUAUCAGCAUCAAUGUCCACGUGAAGAACCUAGUUAUGUUGCCAGUGUCAACCCAACAAAAGUGUAUGGAACUGAGGUGCUUCGUCAGGAGCUGCUUCAGUUGUUGGAGGAUGGAGAAGAGGACGCAGCCAUGACUUUUGAGAUGGCGUCUGAGUCAGCUACUACUCACUAGGAGAUCAGAAAC